rnacentral:lncRNA from 7 species
GCCAGACUGCAGGCCCAUAUGGUCCAUAUGGACACGGCUCCAUCACAGGAUGAAACCAGCGCUGUGCCGCCGCCGGCGUCCGGCCCCAGCGCCGCGUCGCGCAGCCACCCAGUGUCGAGCCGCCGCCUAGCUCCAGAGCCGCGUCGCGGAUCUCCGCAGCUUCGCUAAAUCGCAGUUGCUAGCUUCAUCCUCUCGAUGAUGUGUCGUGGACUUGACGUCGUUCGGCGUCCCAACUCGCGCCCCGGCAUCAAUUCGUCUAUGUACCGUGUCAUCCUGAAUCCGGAACAACCGUCCUUGAGCGCUUUGGCUCAAAAAUAAAAAAUCCUAUCGAUAUUAUAUUAAAAAGAUACCGAAACAUGACCCUGGUGAGAAAACCCCUGAAUCUUCAUAUGGGUACAUAUAUUACUUUUACUUCUUAUGUCAUUUAAUAUUGAUGGCUGUACAUAAUUCAAGUUUUGAAAUGCUUUUCUUCAGGUUACUUAAAACAUUAUCGUUUAUCCCUCAAGUAGCCAAACUUUUGUGUAAGAUGCUUAUCAGACCCCCUUCCAUAGAACUGUUACUCAAGCUUGUCUGGCUAUCAAACUUUCCACAGUAGAGCUGCCUAUUGGCUAUUGAUGCUUGCAGUGCACUCUUCUUUGAAUCUGGCGUUUCAACAACUGCAACUGGAGUAGCAUGCAUAAGCUGGCAGUGGAAUAUAUAAUAUUUUCUUUGGUAUUUUGACAGCUACCUGUGCUUAAUCGUUGCUUGUUUAUGCAACUAGAUUACUGGUUGCAGGUUGAAAGUAAUGUUAUUUGCUGCCGCUUUCUAUGACUAUGCAUCUGCUUGCUUGGGUGACGUCUUGCUAACAAUGAUUGAUAAGCUGACGUCUUGACCAACGAUGAUUGAAGACUUGUGUUAUCUCAAUCUAGUGUUUGCUGCAUCAUGGCACCCACAUUGGUUUAUUAGCUGAUGUUACUGCUGUCUGUAUGACUAUUUUCUAAUUCAACUGGUUCCUACCAAACGGCUGUUUGGGUAUCUUCAUGGUUGCUGACUGGAUGAAAGCGCUCUUUUUUGGCGAUGUUAGCAUUUAGCAAGGUGUCAUGGAUAACUCAUAGCUGCUGAUAUUCUUGUACUUUGCUAUGCCAGCAAGCGCAUGAUCAACAUAUCCUUCUGCAUCUGAGUUUCUUCAUG